GGUACCUUUGGGGUAAUAAAUUCUUUGGGGUAAUUGAAAAAAAUUCGCCCAAAGGUUUGUACUAAUUUCAACCUGUUAUGUUAAUGUUAUCAUUUUGUGGUUUUAAUAUGAUAUACAGCUAGAUAAUAUCUCCCCAAAACGCUUCCAAACAUUUAAAUCGGACAACUAUUUGAACAAUUAUCGGUUUAUGAAAUAUGACCGUCUGUAAAGUGCAUAUCUAGCUGGAGUUAUAAACGGGCGUUUGGGCUAAUUCGCCUUUUUUGGUUUUCCACCAAAAAAACUGAUAUAUAUCACUUAUAUUAUUAUUUGAGUAAAUUGGUGGGAACUUUCUGCAGUUUUCGAUUAAUUUUCUCCAAGAAAUUGUAAGAAAUAGAAAAAAUAUUCGACAUAUAUAUGAGUAGCACGUCUGAAAUUUCACAUAUAUUCUUUCGAAGAUCUUAUUCGGAACACCUUUGGAUUCAUUCGCUUCGAUUAAAUAGGACAAAAUGGCAGCUUGCAGGGGUUUUUACUCAUCAGAUGCAUGAUUCAGAUCAAUACAGUGGUGUCUGCAUAAAAAAAGUUGAUGGGAGAAUGAUGUUUAUCAAAGGUUGAUGUAAACAAAGAAAAGAAAAUUCAACAGAUGAGGCUUUUUGACAAGAAGUGUUAUUUUGAAAUGAUUUUUAGCCAGCAAAUCAAGGUUAACAGCAUCUAGAGAAAUUUGCACAGCAACAUGGAGGAGAAAAACCAUCAAUCCUUGCAAAUCUUGCUGGACGGAAUUGAGAUUUUUUAGCACAAGCAACAAUUCAUGGAAAAAACUAUGAAAAAAGGCUCUAGGUGUAAUACCACCAUUGAUUUUCCCCUAUUAGUCUUUGUUAAAUUUGCACUUUUCAAAAAAUUGUGCAGAAUUUAUCUUUGUUUCAAAUAAAGAAAUACUUGGCAUGAGUAAAGUUUUAUCCUGUCCAGUUCUAUAGAAAAAG